rnacentral:rRNA from 1 species
AUGUCUUGACCAAUUCAUGUGCCAGCAGUCGCGGUAACACAUGUAAGACUGGUGUUAUUCAUCUUUAAUAGGUUUAAAGGGUACCUAGACAGUUAAUUAAGCCUUAAGUAGGUACUAAUAUAACUAGAGUUUAAUGUAGGAAGAAGAGUACGGUGAGUGUAGAGAUAAAAUUCAUUGAUACCACUUAGAAACUGGCAAAUGCGAAGGCAAUCUUCUAUGUAAAAACUGACGUUGAGGGACGAAGGCUCGUUAAAAAGAACAGGAUUAGAUACCCUAGUAUUGUGGGCAGACAAUGAUGAAUGCCAUAUGCAAGAAAUUUUUUGUGUAUAAAUGAAAGUGUAAGCAUUCCACCUCAAGAGUAAUAUGGCAACAUAUAAACUGAAAUCAUUAGACCGUUUCUGAAACUCGUAGUGAAGUAUGUUGUUUAAUUUGAUGAUCCACAGAGAACCUUACCACAAUUUGAAUAUCUAUAUAUAGUAAGUUAUUUUUCUAAAAUAUAGUUACAAGCGUUGCACGGCUGUCUUCAGUUAAUGUCGUGAGACUUUGGUUAGAUCCAUUAAAUUAACGUAUAACCCUUACUUUAUUUAAUAUAAAA